GUCGUUGCCGGGAGAAGGUCGUGAAGCACCGUCGCAGCCCCACGAGCUUUGUGACGGCUUCGUAGAGAACGAGCAUGGCAGUGAGUCUGAUGACUACCGGUGCAGGGACUCCGCCAUCCAGGAUUUCUUGUGGCGUCCUUUGGCUCUUUAAUCCUGCAGCGUGACCUAUAGGACGGCCAAAAGGGAAGGCUUGGUUUGGGGUGGUGCCGAGCCAAAUUGGUAGUGCACUCGGGAGACCAACAUAUCAAUCUGGUAAGUCGAGCAAGUUGCUCGGAUUCUGAACACUUAAUUUCUUUCGAAUUUCAGCAUCUUUUCGCGCCAUUUCACCUUUUAAUUAUUGAGCAGUUUCACCUUCUAAUAAGUACAGAUUAUAUUUUGUUCCCUAUCACUUUGGUUCCUUGUGUGGAAUCAAAACUUAGUCAAUCUUAAAACUGUUUUGAAUGAAUAAGUAUAGGAGCUUACCCGAUAUACAAACGGAUGAAGAUGCCGUCAGCUAGGCAGGAAGAUACGCAGGCUAGGCUGAUAGUAUAUUAUGGGAACUAAUUUGUUCAGCAGGUUGAUUUCGUGUGUGAGUGACUCAGUGACGUCAUUUCUAUGCACUUUGGUCUCGGUUAUUAAGCACUGGAUCAUAUAGUUUAGUCUCAUGCCCAAUAUUGAAUCUAAGAUGGCUACACUGUCAGAGGUAUCUCUGAGCACUAUAUUUUGUUUCUCCAAGUUUCCUUAUGAUGAUUGGGCUCAAUUUUUGGUGAUGAAAUCCUUCUACAAUUGAGGCAUUGAAAAUAGGAAAACUGACAGUGGGAAUGCAUGUCUACACCUCAAUAAUCUAAAUGGGGAUAUUUAGCCACGGCCGUGGACUGUAAGAUGCCAUUAACCGGGAAUUCUUAUACUUUAGGUAAUUUAAGCAGCGAGACAGUUGUGUGCAAUCACAAGGGCUUGGUGAUAUUAAUGAUGAUUGUGGGGCUGCUGAGUAUCAUCAAGAAAUAAUAAUUAUGUCAGCAGUUCAUACGAAGGGCCAAUGUGCACACUCACUUCUCUGUUUAAUUCUGCGGAGUCCAUCAUAAUGCAGAUGCACAUAAUCAUAUCGAAUUUCCCUGUUUAACUAUAUAUCUCAACCUCCUUUAGAUUGCUUAUUAAAUGAACCUUUUUACAUCCUUAUUGAUAUAAAUAUUUUCUUAUUUGUCAGUAAUAUCAAUGGUACUGUAUAUAUUAUGUAUUUUCUUCAGUACGUAGCAUAUAUUCUCUUUUUUUUCUGUUUUUUAUGCAUCUUCAGGCCCUGCUUCGCAACUGAACAGAGCCAAGCAUGGAUUAUGCUUAUUGCAUUUUACAUAGACAUAGUUGAGACAUUUAAGAAUGUCAGACAAUCAGGUUUUUGACAGUAGGUUCAGUUUUACUUCUUUUUUCCUUUCUAUUGCAAAAUCCUUGGUUGCUACUUUUCUCCCCAUUCCAUCAUAACGCAGAUGUAUCUGUUAGCAUCUCCCUAUUUUAUAGGGAAAUGGUUCACAUUUGAUUGAGGAAACAAAUUUUAGAUGUUGAUUAUGUAUGAACCUCAUGCUUCUUUCAGAUUGUUAAAGAAAAUAUUUAUUUCUGAUCAUUGUUAUAGUGCUUAGUUUAUUUGACUGAAAAUGAUGGCUCUGAUGCAUAUGUCGUUCCUAUUUUUAUAGUAGUUUGGUCCUGCAUAUGUGUUACAGAGGAGAAAUAAGUUGGUACUGGAAAUGGAAACUUUACCUUCAUGAAGCUUUUCUAUUGAGUAUAAUACCUGGAAUUCAGACUUAAUAGUAGGGUUAGAGAGUUCCUUUCUUUCUUCUAAUUAAAAUCAAUUGAUGCUAAUUUGUUAGGCUUCUCUUUCUUGCCAGAUCAGAAUAAAUGGUUGAAUGCUUUGUUUACUCUUUAUAUAUUGCCUAGCCCAGCAAUGUUAUACAAGCUGGUUCAACUCUGUUUCUAUUUACAUUGUGCCGUUCACCCAAUGAUUCAGUUUUACUUCCAUUCACAUGUGCCUUGCAUCGACCUCCUGAUGUGUCACUGUUACCAAACUCUAAUCACAUGUCUACUAUAGUUGAUGCAGAUUGUGAUUUAAUUUUUUGAAAAUUAUUUAGAAUCUUUCUAUUUAGCGCAAAGUGUUAUAGUUUGCCCUACUAAUAAUGUAGCAAGUGCAAUAGAUGAAGUGAUUCUUUCUUGGGUCCCUGGGGUUGCAAAGGGAAUUUAUAGCUGUCACACUAUCUGUUGGUGAUGUAGGUUUAUUGUGCCCUCUAAAUUUGUCCAUGCUGCCGUCCUUGGUAAUUUGUCACACUAUUAGAAAGUCUCUUUGAAGGUUGGUGUGCCUAUAAUUCCAUUGAGAAAAAUCAAUCAAUGGACAGGGUUAUGCAACAGGUGUUUUCCCUUUCUUUCCUGUGCUUGCUGUUCCUUCAUGUUUUUUUCCACACGUUUGCUGCUGAUAGGUGAACUCUGCUUGGAGUUUGGAGGCUGUUUUGUUUCUAUUUCCAGCUGCAAGGUAAUGGUUUGCCUGGUUGAAUGUGUUGUGGUACCUGUUCUUAAAUUUUAUUUGUUCCUAGAAUAGUUGAAUGUGCUGACGUAUUGUGCUUCCUCUGAAUAUAUGCUGAUUAGUGAAUGUUGAUCCAAUCGAAGUUACAGGGUAUACUAAUGGAACAUAAGACAAUAAGCGAUCAUAUUGCCCUCCAUGGUUUCUACCUGUGGAGACAUUGUUUUCUUACCUAGAAAACUGACUCUGUGCUGAUUAUAGAAGUAUAUUACCCUUACCGAUAUACACCUUUUCAGAAAUUUGAUCGACCUAAGUACUUCAGAUGAAGGUUAUCAAUUCAGGAAAGAAGAAACAAAUUCUGAUGUUAUAUAUCCAACUUAAUAUACAAUAACAUAGUUACAAACUCUUUACCAUGCACGUAUUCUGGUUAUGGAUUAUCAAGAUGGCACAAAUAUUUAAGUAAAUUGCUUUUGUGAAAAUCACUUUACCUCAUGUUCUUCCAUUUGCAUAUAUAAUUAUACAUAAGUUUAUGUGGCUCCAGUAUUGCAAUAUGUUACAUAUAUUUGGUGUCAAGUUGAUCUGCUAUGUAUCUCUUGGCAUUAGAUGAAGACUUGACUACUUCUUUCGCAGAAUCUUUACGAUAAGCAAGCAGAAAUUAGUGGCAGGAAGUUAUAUCACUCCUUAUGUAUGUUAAAACACAAGUUUAUCAACAGUGUUCGAUUGCAGGUAAGAAGUUUGCCAUUGGCAUCGUUGCUUUGUCAAGGGAAAUGACUUAUAGACUGAGUGAAAUAUAUUGUCUAAAAAUAUUUAAUGAUUCUUUAAACUAUGCAUAUAAGAAAUCAUCAGAUUUUGUGCCAGAAAAGAUUGUUCUAUUUCAUUGACCUUAUGACAAACAGCAAUGUACAAAGUGGGUGUUUAUUGAUCUUCUGAAACCAUUGGAUUACCUUUUCUCUUUCACGCGAACUGAAACCUGAGUUGUGACAAUAAAAUGCUGCUGUUUUGGGUGUUAUUUAAAUUUAA